GAUGAAGAACGCAGCGAAAUGCGAUACGUAAUGUGAAUUGCAAAUUCAGUGAAUCAUCGAGUCUUUGAACGCACAUUGCGCCCCCUGGUAUUCCGGGGGGCAUGCCUGUCCGAGCGUCAUUGCUGCCCUCAAGCACGGCUUGUGUGUUGGGCCCCGUCCUCCGAUUCCGGGGGACGGGCCCGAAAGGCAGCGGCGGCACCGCGUCCGGUCCUCGAGCGUAUGGGGCUUUGUCACCCGCUCUGUAGGCCCGGCCGGCGCUUGCCGAUCAACCCAAAUUUUUAUCCAGGUUGACCUCGGAUCAGGUAGGGAUACCCGCUGAACUUAAGCAUAUCGAUAAGCGGAGGA
rnacentral:misc_RNA from 1 species